GGACUACACGGGUUUCUAAUCCUGUUUGCUCCCCACGCUUUCGCGUCUUAGCGUCAGUAUCCGUCCAGAGAGCCGCCUUCGCCACCGGUGUUCCUCCUGAUAUCUACGCAUUUCACCGCUACACCAGGAAUUCCACUCUCCUCUCCGGUACUCUAGCUCCCCAGUUUCCAAUGCACUUCCGGGGGUGAGCCCCGGGCUUUCACAUCAGACUUAAGAAGCCGCCUACACGCGCUUUACGCCCAGUAAUUCCGAACAACGCUUGCACCCUCCGUAUUACCGCGGCUGCUGGCAC
rnacentral:rRNA from 1 species